CCUCUGUCAUGGAGGAGAUAAGGACUGGAGAGAAUACAAUAGGAGGGAGUCUGUCUCUCUGAGCAAGAUUAUUUACUCUAACCUUAGGUGAUGCUUUGUGGGUAGCUGUCACAAAGCAAAUGUGGCUGGGAUCUGCUUUCUUAUGUUUUAUACUCCUAACCAGAAAAUCCUUGGGAUUUCUGCUCUGUGGAUUCAAUAAGGAAUCAGCUGGGAGUCAGGGGGAGAAGUGAUGCUGAGUCUGAAUGCACUCUAGCAGCCUGCUCUGGUGUUUUGACAGCGUGUGCUCACAGCAAAAAGCAGCUAUAGGAAAUGAAAGCUGACAGUAGAUGGAGUUCAGCACAAAGGCAGAGGUUAGAAGAGCUGCCCUCUAGCUAGAUGUAAGUAGCUACAACUCCAGCACUGAAGUCUGAUGAAAGAAAUGGUUGGCAAGGAAGGAGUUGCAGACGAUCCUGGAGCUGGAGAAGCGAGGAUUAAAGUGGAGAGCGAUUUGGUCUCCAGGAUCACAGAGCAAGUUGAUUUCAAACCUGGGACAGGGAGAGAAAGAGGAGAUGGAGUGAUGCUGCUGCCUCUUGUGAGCUGGGAUUGCUGCAAGCAGUGUCCUUACAUGCUUGUGCUGGAACUGGUCUCACCCUUGACCACGACGCUCCAGCCGGGACACAUCCCCUCCGGGUACAGGGCUUCAAACUGCCGACAAGGAGAUGAUGGUGAAACAUGCAGAUAAGCAGAAUGGGAGCUGCUAUCCCAGGCUCUGGUGCCCUUGGCAGAUGAUUAGAAAUGCAAUCCAGAGGACAUAGAAGCCAAUAGGAUCUCUCGGGGCUGAAGAAGCCGAGUCCCAGCUGGGAUUUGCCCAUUUGGACUCCUACAGAACUGAAGCUUGUGAAGCUGAGCUCUGCCGUGGUCUCCUUGCUCUGUACCAGCGAGCAGUGGAGCAGAGCUCUGUGCUACAGAUGGCAGCAUUGGGACGUGCAAAGGAGCCGUGAGCCAGCAGCAGAG